rnacentral:rRNA from 1 species
GUGCCAGCAGCCGCGGUAAUACAGAGGAGGCAAGCGUUGUUCGGAAUCACUGGGCUUAAAGCGCGUGUAGGCGGCCAUGCAAGUACUUUGUGAAAUCCCUCGGCUCAACCGGGGAAUUGCUUGGUAUACUGCAGGGCUUGAGGCGGGUAGGGGUGCUUGGAACUCUAGGUGGAGCGGUGAAAUGCGUAGAUAUCUAGAGGAACGCCUGUGGCGAAAGCGGAGCACUGGGCCCGUCCUGACGCUAAGACGCGAAAGCGUGGGUAGCAAACGGGAUUAGAUACCCCAGUAGUCC